rnacentral:rRNA from 1 species
UACGGGGGGGGGCAAGCGUUGUUCGGAAUUACUGGGCGUAAAAGGGCUCGUAGGCGGCCAACUAAGUCGGAUGUGAAAUCCCCAGGCUUAACCUGGGAACUGCAUCCGAUACGUGGAUGGCUUGAAUCCGGGAGAGGGAUGCGGGAAUUCCAGGUGUAGCGGUGAAAUGCGUAGAUAUCUGGAGGAACACCGGUGGCGAAGGCGGCGAUCCCUAGGACCCGGGCACUUGGACGCUGAGGAAGCCGGAAAGCCCAAGGGGAGCAAAACGGGG